GCAACUUCAUCCGCAUCAGGAAUUUCCUUUUUGGGGCUGGGUGUCCCCAGGCUGCCUGCACUGGAGGGUCUGGGCCGUGGAGCAGACCACACAGUGCUGUUAGUACCAAGAAAACCAGCCAGCCCAUCAAUUUUUGCUGCUCACAGCCCAGCCUAGCCCAGCUUUCCAAUAUUUACAUCCUAAUGCCAAACUCCAGGAAACUGGAGGACCCGUGGCCCUGAAAACUAUAUCUCAGAAGAUUUCCUUGCAUCAAAGCUGUGGGUAGGAUGGAACAGGCAGCUGAUUGUUAUCUGCCUUAAAUUUGCGAGGGCUGGCCUAAAGCUCUGGCGUAAGUCCCAGUGACCCCUCUGGUUCUGUGGUGGCCUGGAGCUCAGACGUCAGGGGAUAUCUGCAGCUCCAGGUGUGUGUCCUGGCACCAAGGACAUCCUCCUUCUCCUCCUGGGGUUGGCUGGGCCCAGGGCCAGCUCUGACAGCGCAGCUGGCUGGCCUUGGAUCAACAAAAGGAUUGAGAGGUUACAUUGAAUGGAUUUGAACAAAGCCCUUUUGUUCGUGGCAAUGGUGAGCAGCUCAUCUGGAGGAUAACUGCAACACCCUUGUCUGGCAGCGGCCGCACCGGCACCGCUCUGAUGUCCGAGUGGCUCUGAGCAACCGCAGCUGGCAGCUGCACCACCUUCCUUGGCGGGCAAAGCAAAGUUCUCAGCUACUGAAUCUGCUUCGGCAGCCCUCCUGAAGACAGCUGGGCAGCUGGAUCCAAUUCUCCUUCACAACAGCGAGCGUCAGACCUUGGAGCCUCCCCUGACACGGCGAUCUUGACUAGCGCAGUCACAUUGGCCGCGCUCCCUGUCCAUCGCUCCCAGCAGGGCUGCAGCAUGCCCAGGUACAUGCUCAGAGGAACGUGUGCUGGCAGCCAGAACUCCUCGGAUACAAGAGGGAUGGAAAGGCUACAUCAGUGCCUCAGAUACAAGCAUUUGGCACACGGCUGAAAAGCAGAGAACAAACGCUGGUUCUCCAGAUUUUAUCCAUCCCCGCCGGGCUGCAGGCCUCGGUUUGCGGAGCUGUGAGUUACGAGCUGAAGGACAGAAAGGGGC